GCACAGUAGGGUGGAGCGAUUUUAUUUUUUUUGAAUUUUUGCUUCGGCAUACCUGUAUAAAGUUGCUAUUUUAGGUCAUUACUAAAUACGAGAAAGCUCAGUUUGUUUACGUCAAGUUUAGAGGUGCCCCCAUCAUCGUAAAGUUUUGAAAAUUUGCGCAAAUUCCAUAAAAUCGCAAACAUUGUAUAAACUCGGAAUUAUAUUCUUAGCGAUGCUUUAUUAGUGUAAACUAAACAAGAUUCAACUGGAAACGUGUUUGUUCUGAUCGGUAGGUAACGGGGUGCGGGGAAGGGGUAUUUUUUAUUUCACUCCCUCACAUCAAAGAAAUGGCAUUAGCCAACUACGCGCGUACACGAGCUCACUUGUUUGUCGUGCACUUAGGUACUUGACACAUCGAAUCUGACGGCUGGGAACAAAUACAUAUAUUAAAUAUGUUGCAAGUUAAAACACGACAAAUGUCAAGCUGUCCUGCCUCUGGUUUGCCAGAAAAGUUACCUGUUUCCCAGUUACCAACUUACAACGACAUUAUGAAAUAUUAUUUAUUUAUCAAAAAUGAAUUGAAGCCUGAUAUAGCAACAAAAGAGCCAACAGUUCAUGAAAUAUCUGAAAGGCUGGCUCAAGAAGUUUUAUAAAUAUGGCAAAAAUCGUCGCUGCCAACUGUAAGUUUCAAAAGAAUCCUACAAUUGAUUCGCGUUUAUCAUGACAAAUACAGAUGCUUAAUGAAACCAUAUCGAGGCCGUCAAACGGACAUUAAAUACCAAGAAAAAAAUAAUAAAUUCAUAUCAGACUCUCAUAGUUUCUUUGAUAUUUGUAGCUGCAAAUGCAAAGUUAUAUCGGAUUGUAACUGUCCUAAAGAAUGUCGCAUUCCCAAGGAGGAAGUUGUUUUUUUAUUGGAUCAAAGAACGACCAGAAAAAUGAUGAUAGGCGGUGUCGAUGUGGCUACAGCGGCAAAAAUAAGAAAAAACAAGAAAGAAAAGAAAAAGCUUUAUAUCGCAGUAGAGAGGUAAACUAUUUUGAUAAACCUUGUUGUUCUCGUUCAUUGACUGAUGAUUUUGUAACAGAAAGCAGCAGCUCAUGCGAUAGUUUGCUUGUGCCAUCUACUAGUCCUCAGUAUAAAAACCCAGAACAGGUAAAACAUAAAGCUUCGCCACCUAAUAAAAAAAAAACGAUUGAAUUUAACCUCAUUAGCUCUUGCAUGCGAUCGUACUGGAGUUUCGGAUAGAGCCGAUGUAUUAUAGCUUCUUCUGUCUUGAAAGAUGUUGGCAUUAUUGAAACCUUGAAAAAUGUGGUCAAGAACGGUCUCAGCAUGUGUCAGAUUAUUGAUUUUCCAUGUCACACUCAAGCAGUAGAGCGCUGCAUCAAGUUGGUGACAGAAGCAUCAAAUGCAGUUUGUGGAGAUAAUAAAAGAGACGGUUUCAUUAGAGCGACACUGCUUUCGCGUAAACGAAUGCCUACUUUUAAUACGAAAAAACAGUUUGAUAUGUAAGUUUGCUUUUUUAAUGUUUAAUUUUUGCAAUUAAUAGAAAAAUUGGAUUUUU
rnacentral:lncRNA from 1 species